rnacentral:rRNA from 1 species
UGGUUAAGUGAAUAAGGGCGUACGGUGAAUGCCUUGGCACUAGGAGCCGAUGAAGGACGGGACGAACACCGAUAUGCUUCGGGGAGCUGUAAGUAAGCUUUGAUCCGGAGAUUUCCGAAUGGGGGAACCUCAUUGUUUUAAUCGACAAUGGCAAGUAAGUGAAUACAUAGCUUAUGAUGCGGUAGACGUGGUGAACUGAAACAUCUCAGUAGCCAUAGGAAAAGAAAGAAAAAUCGAUUUCCUAAGUAGCGGCGAGCGAACGGGAAAGAGGCCAAACCAAAGUGCUUGCACUUUGGGGUUGUAGGACUGAAGGAAGGUAUGACAAGAUCUAGCCGAAUGAUUUGGGAAAAUCAAUCGAAGAAGGUGAAAAUCCUGUAGGUGAAAGAUCGCGGCAGCCUGUCAGUAUCCUGAGUACGGCGGUACACGUGAAAUUCCGUCGGAAUCCACCGGGACCAUCCGGUAAGCCUAAAUACUACCUAGUGACCGAUAGUGAACCAGUACCGUGAGGGAAAGGUGAAAAGCACCCCGGGAGGGGAGUGAAAGAGUACCUGAAACCGUAUGCCUACAAGCAGUCAAAGCCCGUUAAAGGGUGAUGGCGUACUUUUUGUAGAACGGACCGGCGAGUGACGAUAGCAAGCAAGGUUAAGCGGAAGAAGCGGAGCCUUAGCGAAAGCGAGUCUGAAUAGGGCGUCAAGUUUGUUGUCGUCGACCCGAAACCAAGUGAUCUACCCAUGUGCAGGGUGAAGGUGUGGUAAAACACGCUGGAGGCCCGAACCCACGUCUGUUGAAAAAGGCGGGGAUGACGUGUGGGUAGCGGUGAAAUUCCAAUCGAACUUGGAGAUAGCUGGUUCUCUCCGAAAUAGCUUUAGGGCUAGCCUUGGAUGAUGACUAUUGGAGGUAGAGCACUGUUUGAUCGAGGGGUCCAUCUAGGAUUACUGACAUCUGAUAAACUCCGAAUGCCAAAAAGUUUUAGUCCAGGAGUCAGACGGCGAGUGAUAAGAUCCGUCGUCGAAAGGGAAAGAGCCCAGACCACCAGCUAAGGUCCCAAAGUAUCAGUUAAGUGGAAAAGGAUGUGGAGUUGCACAGACAACUAGGAUGUUGGCUUAGAAGCAGCCAUCAUUUAAAGAGUGCGUAAUAGCUCACUAGUCGAGUGACCCUGCGCCGAAAAUGUACCGGGGCUAAACUGAACACCGAAGCUGUGGAUCCGUGAGGAUGGUAGGAGAGCGUUCUAUAGGCAGAGAAGCUGGAUCGUGAGGACCAGUGGAGCGUAUAGAAGUGAGAAUGCCGGUAUGAGUAGCGAAAGACGGGUGAGAAUCCCGUCCACCGAAUGACUAAGGUUUCCUGGGGAAGGCUCGUCCUCCCAGGGUAAGUCGGGACCUAAGCCGAGACCGAAAGGGAUAGGCGAUGGACAACAGGUUGAGAUUCCUGUACUUGUUUUAUUUGUUUGAGCGAAGGAAGGACACAGGAGGCUAAGCUGAGCGCGGAGAUGGAAAGACGCGUCCAAGCAGUAAGUGUGAUGGUGAGUGAAAGGCUUGCCACAGAGUACACAAGCUGUGACGGGGAGAGAAAUCAAGUAUCGAAGCAGCCGAUGUCACACUGUCAAGAAAAGUUUCUAGUAAGAAUAAAGCAACCCGUACCGCAAACCGACACAGGUAGUCGAGUGGAGAACACUAAGGUGAGCGAGCGAACUCUCGUUAAGGAACUCGGCAAAAUGACCCCGUAACUUCGGGAGAAGGGGUGCUGACCGCAAGGUCAGCCGCAGUGAAUAGGCCCAAGCGACUGUUUAUCAAAAACAUAGGUCUCUGCCAAAUCGGAAGAUGACGUAUAGAGGCUGACGCCUGCCCGGUGCUGGAAGGUUAAGAGGAAGGGUAAGCUUUCGAGCGAAGCUCUGAAUUGAAGCCCCAGUAAACGGCGGCCGUAACUAUAACGGUCCUAAGGUAGCGAAAUUCCUUGUCAGGUAAGUUCUGACCCGCACGAAAGGCGUAACGAUUUGGGCACUGUCUCAACGAGAGGCUCGGUGAAAUUGUAGUACCAGUGAAGAUGCUGGUUACCCGCGACAGGACGGAAAGACCCCAUGGAGCUUUACUGUAGGUUGAUAUUGAAUGUUUGUGUGACAUGUACAGGAUAGGUAGGAGCCGAAGAGAUCGGGACGCUAGUUUCGAAGGAGGCACCCGUGGGAUACUACCCUUGUGACAUGACCAUUCUAACCCGCGACCAUAAUCUGGUCGGGAGACAGUGUCAGUCGGGCAGUUUGACUGGGGCGGUCGCCUCCUAAAGAGUAACGGAGGCGCCCAAAGGUUCCCUCAGAAUGGUUGGAAAUCAUUCGAAGAGUGUAAAGGCAGAAGGGAGCUUGACUGCGAGACCUACAAGUCGAGCAGGGACGAAAGUCGGGCUUAGUGAUCCGGUGGUUCCGCAUGGAAGGGCCAUCGCUCAACGGAUAAAAGCUACCCUGGGGAUAACAGGCUUAUCUCCCCCAAGAGUUCACAUCGACGGGGAGGUUUGGCACCUCGAUGUCGGCUCAUCGCAUCCUGGGGCUGAAGUCGGUCCCAAGGGUUGGGCUGUUCGCCCAUUAAAGCGGUACGCGAGCUGGGUUCAGAACGUCGUGAGACAGUUCGGUCCCUAUCCGUCGCGGGCGUUGGAAAUUUGAGAGGAGCUAUCCUUAGUACGAGAGGACCGGGAUGGACACACCGCUGGUGUACCAGUUGUUCCACCAGGAGCACAGCUGGGUAGCUAUGUGUGGACGGGAUAAGCGCUGAAAGCAUCUAAGCGUGAAGCCCCCCUCGAGAUGAGAUUUCCCAUCUCAAUAAGAGAGUAAGACCCCUGAAAGACGAUCAGGUAGAUAGGUUCGGAGUGGAAGCCUAGUAAUAGGUGAAGCGGACGAAUACUAAUCGGUCGAGGACUUAUCCAAA